AGCUCUGUAAGCGUAUACCAAAGUUGUUGCAGUUAAAACGCUCGUAGUCGGAUUUUGGUGUGGCCCGUGCUAUGUGCGUAAUGCAUGUGGCGCUGGGGCACGCUUUUGUGGAGGGCGGCAUGCCGUGGCUUUAUUGUCGCGGUGUGUCGGCGCCACCGUUUACUGUGAAAAAAUUAGAGUGUUCAAAGCAGGCGUUUGCCGUGAAUACAUUAGCAUGGAAUAAUAGAAUAGGACUUGGUUCCUAUUUUGUUGGUUUGUGAGGGCCGAGUAAUGAUUAAGAGGGACGGUUGGGGGCAUUUGUAUUCCAGCGUCAGAGGUGAAAUUCUUGGAUUGCUGGAAGACAAACCGCUGCGAAAGCGUCUGCCAAGGACGUUUUCAU
rnacentral:rRNA from 1 species